rnacentral:rRNA from 1 species
UACAGAGGUCUCAAGCGUUGUUCGGAUUCAUUGGGCGUAAAGGGUGCGUAGGCGGCGCGGUAAGUCGGGUGUGAAAUUUCGGAGCUUAACUCCGAAACUGCAUUCGAUACUGCGGUGCUUUGAGGACUGGAGAGGAGACUGGAAUUCCUGGUGUAGCGGUGAAAUGCGCAGAUAUCAGGAGGAACACCGGUGGCGAAGGCGGGGUCUCUGGGCCGAUACUGACGUGAGGAGCGAAAGCGUGGGGGAGCGAACAGG